AACGAACGCUGGCGGCAUGCCUAACACAUGCAAGUCGAACGAGACCUUCGGGUCUAGUGGCGCACGGGUGCGUAACGCGUGGGAAUCUGCCCUUGGGUUCGGAAUAACAGUUAGAAAUGACUGCUAAUACCGGAUGAUGACGUAAGUCCAAAGAUUUAUCGCCCAAGGAUGAGCCCGCGUAGGAUUAGCUAGUUGGUAAGGUAAAGGCUUACCAAGGCGACGAUCCUUAGCUGGUCUGAGAGGAUGAGCAGCCACACUGGGACUGAGACACGGCCCAGACUCCUACGGGAGGCAGCAGUGGGGAAUAUUGGACAAUGGGCGAAAGCCUGAUCCAGCAAUGCCGCGUGAGUGAUGAAGGCCUUAGGGUUGUAAAGCUCUUUUACCAGGGAUGAUAAUGACAGUACCCGCAGAAUAAGCUCCGGCUAACUUCGUGCCAGCAGCCGCCGUAAUAC
rnacentral:rRNA from 1 species